rnacentral:lncRNA from 1 species
GGAAGGGCACCCUGGGGACGCACCUGGAGGCUGGGUGUCCAGCGCUGCCGCCCCCCUGGUCCCUGUCAUUGAGCGCAGCGGUAUAAAUCCUCCGGUAGCGGUCGGCCAGGGCCCGGCCUGACAGCAGCAGCUGGUAGUGACCCCGGGAGUCCGCGGCGGGUAGCCCCAGCCCCAGCCCCGCAGCAGCCACGGAGCCGUCGGGAACCGGCAUGAACAGCGCCCCCGGCGCCGGGGAGGAAGAGAAGGUGGCGGCUGGGUAGAAUCCGUCCCCGCCGAGCCCCGAGGAGGCGGCGGCGGGGGAGGCAGUCGCUGCGCACAUCAUCAUCCUCGCCGCCGCCGCCGCCGCCGCCGCCUCGUCCCCGCGGGCCGGGCGGGCAGACACGCGCGCGCACACACAGCCCUUUUCCAACGACGACGGCUCCGGCGGCGGCCUCUGGCUCCCGCAGCAGGGAGACUACAAAGACAGCGACCUCCUUCUCCUCCUCCUUCUUCUCCUCCUCCCCCCCGCGCCGCCCUCGCCGCUACUGGGGCCGCUCAUCUAACCCCGCCACCCCGGGAAUGUGAGGAGGAGGCGGUGCCGCCACUGCCGCCGCCACCACCGCUACCACCGCCACCACCGCCGGGGCUACCCGCAAUGGGAAGCUGCCGGCCUCACAGAGCAUGCGCCACUCCUCGCACAUGCUCACUUGAAGAAGAGUAAGGAAAGUGCUGGGGAGGCUGUCAGCUACUGACGUUCGACUUCAGGUUCCCUCCAGGUGGAAGAACGAGGACCAGAAAGCAAGGGGGAACGUGCCCAUCGCCAGAGGAGGAGUGGCACGCUCUUCUGCUACCUCUUCUCCAAGGCUCUGCUGCCAACAGGAAGAUUUACUGUGAAUUGUGCUGGUUAAUUCAGAGUUUAAGGCAGAGAAAACCAUCCCAAUUAGAAGUGCCUUUAGCGAUCUUAUUUUAUAUGGUUUUUGUCAUUAGGAUUUACGCUUGUUUAACACAGCUUUUACUUACAAAGACAG